GGGGAGCUAUGUCUUGAAGCUUGCUGUGGGACUUGAUAAAGCAAGAUCGGUUUUGCAAUAUGAAAAGCAAGGCAUGCAAGGUAACUUUUUUGAAUCGAUGAAAGUAUUCCUUAAGGAGGCAGAAGAUGGAAUAGUGAGGAUAAGGGCAGAAGAAAGAAAGGCCUUAUCCAUGGUCAAACAGGUAACUGAAUAUUUUCAUGGUGAUGCUGCAAAAGAGGAAGCUCAUCCUCUCAGAAUAUUCGUGAUUGUGCGAGACUUCCUCUCCAUAUUGGAUAAUGUGUGCAAAGAUGUUAGGCGAAUGCAG
rnacentral:misc_RNA from 1 species